rnacentral:rRNA from 1 species
GUGAUUUAAUGGCCGCAGUAUUUUGACUGUGCAAAGGUAGCAUAAUCAUUAGUUUUUUAAAUGGAAUCUUGUAUGAAAGGUUUGAUGAGAGAAAAUCUGUCUCUAUUUUAAUAAUAGAAUUUUAUUUUUAAGUUAAAAAGCUUAAAUAUAUAUAAAAGACGAUAAGACCCUAUAGAGUUUAAUAAAUAAUUUAUAUUAAUUUUUGAGGGAGUUUGAGGUAUAAACAAUUUAUUUGGUUGGGGUGAUUAUAAAAUUAAAUGAACUUUUAUUUUUAGUUGAACAUAGAUUUAUGUAAAAGUAUGAUCCAAAAAUUUUGAUUAUAAGAUAAAAUUACCUUAGGGAUAACAGCGUAAUUUUUUUUGAGAGUUCAAAUCGAUAAGAAAGAUUGCGACCUCGAUGUUGGAUUAAAAUUAAUUUUUGGUGUAGAAGCUAAAAUAAUU